ensembl:lncRNA
CAAAAUGUAUUAUUAUAAAUCAAUUCAAAUGAACACAUGCUUGUUACGGGAGGAGCUGAAUUGCAGCACCUCUGUAGAAAGCUAAUUAGAGCUGAUUAACAACAGCUGUGCCACCUGCAUGAGAGGCUUUUUCAGACCCAGUGUGUGGCACAGGUAGCACUUCCUGUUGGUGACUGAUGCAAUGGGAGCUAUGUGGGCCUUCGUCGUUUGUGUCCUGACUGUUUGGCUUGCCAAAGGGUCUUGUUUGCCAGUUGAUGGGACAAAUAAAGGGAAUGAUCAGAGGAAGAUGGAAGAUUUGCCUCUCAGUGAAUUCUUAUUAAAGGGGGCCAUUGCACUUCUCCAGGCAAUGGAGUCCAUGUUGGAGCAAGAUGUUAAAGGUACGGCCAUGGACUGCGGCACCUUCCCUGUUGUGGCUGGCGGUGGCUGCAGCAACAACGGCAGCCACAGCGCUGCCGACGGUGGUGGCGGCAGCAACAACGGCAGCCACCGCGCUGCCGACGGUGGCGGCAGCAACAACGGAAGCCACAGUGGCGGCGGCAGCAACAACGGAAGCCACAGCGCUGCCGACGGUAGCGGCGGCAGCAACAACGGAAGCCACAGUGGCGGCGGCAGCAACAACGGAAGCCACAGCGCUGCCGACGGUAGCGGCGGCAGCAACAACGGAAGCCACAGCGCUGCCGACGGUAGCGGCGGCAGCAACAACGGAAGCCACAGCGCUGCCGACAGUAGCGGUGGCAGCAACAAUGGCAGCAGUGCUGCCGACGGCGGCGGCAACUAUGGCAGCAUCUUCCCCGGCGGCGGCAACUAUGGCGUCAUCUUCCCCGCAACUGUGGCGGCCGGUGGCAACGGCGUCAUCUUCCCCGCAACUGAGGCGGCCGGUGGCAACGGCGUCAUCUUCCCCGCAACUGAGGCGGCCGGUGGCAACGGCGUCAUCUUCCCCGCAACUGAGGCGGCUGGUGGCAACGGCGUCAUCUUCCCCGCAACUGUUGCGGGUGGUGGCAAUCGGCCACAGCAGUAGCGCGGCCGUCACUAGUGAACCCCAGAGCUGAUAACAAAACUCCUGUAACCACACUGCUAAAGUAGGGAAUAGUUUGCGGAAUCAUGCAAGAGUUCAGUUGAAGCCAUUUCUGUAUGUCCCAAGUUUUCUGCUUUAAAUAAAACUCUUAACUGAUACGUUUCCCUAUUUCUUCUUUCCCAGAUAAGGGUUAAAAGACCCUUAAAGAUUUAAAUUAUGACAAGUGCGACUGCUUGAGUACUUUGUACGUUUGCGUAGAUUGUGCCGCUUUUCUGGUCAGUUUCUGGAGAGCAGUUUGCAGCAUUAACACACUGACCGGGUAAGUAACAGUG